rnacentral:rRNA from 1 species
CCCUUAGAUGUUCUGGGCCGCACGCGCGCUACACUGAUGCAUUCAACGAGUUUCUUCCUGGUCCGAGAGGAAUGGGUAACCUUUUGAAAGUGCAUCGUGAUAGGGAUAGAUCAUUGCAAUUAUUGAUCUUGAACGAGGAAUUCCUAGUAAACGCGAGUCAUCAGCUCGCAUUGAUUACGUCCCUGCCCUUUGUACACACCGCCCGUCGCACCUACCGAUUGAAUGUUUCGGUGAAGAUUCCGGAUAGGACUUUUUUGAUUUAUUUCAAUUUUGUCUUAAAAGCUAUCUAAACCUCAACAUUUAGAGGAAGGUGAAGUCGUAACA